CUACAGACUUGAUUGUAUUGAGCCUUGGUAUGGAAACCAGCUAAGUGGUAACUUCCAAAUUCAGGGAAACCCUGGAAUUAAAAAAGGGAAAUCCUGAGCCAAAACCGUGUUUUGAGAAAACAAGGGGUUCUCGAACUAGAAUACAAAGGAAAAGGAUAGGUGCAGAGACUCAAUGGAAGUUGUUCUAAUGAAUCGAGUUAAUUACAUUGUGUUGUUAGUAAGCCCCCGAGUGGGAGGAUUGCGCUCCACUCGGUAGGAUUUUUUAAACUUAG
rnacentral:ncRNA from 1 species